AGAGAUGUAGCUCAGGGGUAGAGCAUCUGCUUUGCAUGUAGAAGGUCCCAGGUUCAAUUCCCUGCAUCUCUA